AUUGAACGCUGGCGGCAGGCCUAACACAUGCAAGUCGAACGAGUGGCGGACGGGUGAGUCAUGUCUGGGAAACUGCCCGAUGGAGGGGGAUAACUACUGGAAACGGUAGCUAAUACCGCAUACCCUCGGAUGUGCCCAGAUGGGAUUAGCUGGUAGGUGGGGUAACGGCUCACCUAGGCGCCGAUCCCUAGCUGGUCUGAGAGGCUGACCAGCCACACUGUAACGGAGACACGGUCCAGAUGCCUACGGGAGGCAGCAUUGGGGAAUAUUGCGCAAUGGGCGCAAGCCUGAUGCAGCCAUGCCGCGUGUAUGAAGAAGGCCUUCGGGUUGUAAAGUACUUUCAGCGAGGAGGCGUUACUCGCAGAAGAAGCACCGGCUAACUCCGUGCCAGCAGCCGCGGUAAUAC
rnacentral:rRNA from 1 species